rnacentral:tmRNA from 1 species
GGGGAUGUAAUGGUCUCGACAGGUAGGGACGGGGAACGAGCGCAGCGGUAUGGUAAACCUAAAUGCCAAACAAGAUUAACUGCCAAAAACAGAAGAAUCUUCAACAAUUACAACGCUCCCGCUUUUGCGGCUGCUGCUUGCUAACUUAGAUUUAGCCCAGCGUAAGCGAGGUUAAAACCUCGAGUGUGUCUCCAUAAUCUUGUACUAAUUCUUUCGGAAGUUUGGAGGCUAACCUAGAAAGAAUAGUCUGCAUGUAAGGUAGUCUAUAUGCAGAUGACAAAAAAGAUCUGCCGCCGUUAGAUGUGAAUCCGAGCAUGACAAACUCUAACGUAUUAUGAUGCCCUAAGCUGUAGUGAUCGUUUUUUAGCCUUAUUUGGACAGGGGUUCAACUCCCCUCAUCUCCACCA